AGCGAACGCUGGCGGCAGACCUAACACAUGCAAGUCGAACGGACCCUUCGGGGUUAGUGGCGGACGGGUGAGUAACACGUGGGAACGUGCCUUUAGGUUCGGAAUAGCUCCUGGAAACGGGUGGUAAUGCCGAAUGUGCCCUUCGGGGGAAAGACUUAUCGCCUUUAGAGCGGCCCGCGUCUGAUUAGCUAGUUGGUGAGGUAAUGGCUCACCAAGGCGACGAUCAGUAGCUGGUCUGAGAGGAUGACCAGCCACAUUGGGACUGAGACACGGCCCAAACUCCUACGGGAGGCAGCAGUGGGGAAUCUUGCGCAAUGGGCGAAAGCCUGACGCAGCCAUGCCGCGUGGAUGAUGAAGGUCUUAGGAUUGUAAAAUCCUUUCACCGGUGAAGAUAAUGACUGUAGCCGGAGAAGAAGCCCCGGCUAACUUCGUGCCAGCCGCCGCUGUAAUAC
rnacentral:rRNA from 1 species